rnacentral:piRNA from 1 species
UAGACACUGAAGGCUUCAAAACAUGAUU